rnacentral:misc_RNA from 1 species
CAUGCUAGUGCUUGACAUUCCAAAUAAGCACAAAGUGAGGUCACAUGGUCAAAAGAGAGGGUUAUCCACUGUCACAUAACCUAAAUAUUGUACCACAUUGUCUUACUUUCCACAUACAUUGUCACCAAACUAGGGUAGGGAGGUGGAAUGCGCAUUCACCAAAAGUGCCACAAGAUGUUAACUAUUAAUCAGAUCAUUUAACAAGUAUCAACAUGAAGUCUAG